rnacentral:misc_RNA from 1 species
GAUGAAGAACGUAGCGAAAUGCGAUAAGUAAUGUGAAUUGCAGAAUUCAGUGAAUCAUCGAAUCUUUGAACGCACAUUGCGCCCAUUAGUAUUCUAGUGGGCAUGCCUGUUCGAGCGUCAUUAAGUCCACUUAAGCCCUGCUUAGUGUUGGGAGACUGCUCCAGCGGUGCUACCCUGUAGCUACCCUGCAGCUCCUCAAAGACAGCGGCGGAGUUGUGGUAUCCUCUGAGCUUAGUAACUUGUUCUAGCUUUCGAGUACACCACUUCCCCUGCCGUAAAACCCUUAAUUUUUAAUGGUUGACCUCGGAUCAGGUAGGAAUACCCGCUGAACUUAAGCAUAUCAAUAAGCGGGGGA